GGACUAUUAGCUCAGUUGGUUUAGAGCACUACCUCGACAAGGUAGGGGUCAUUGGUUCGAAUCCAAUAUGGUCCACAA
rnacentral:tRNA from 1 species